rnacentral:rRNA from 1 species
UACGUAGGGAGCAAGCGUUGUCCGGAAUCAUUGGGCGUAAAGCGCGCGUAGGUGGCUUCGUAAGUCCGUUGUGAAAGUCAAAGGCUCAACCUUUGAAAGCCGAUGGAUACUGUGAAGCUAGAGUACGGAAGAGGCGAGUGGAAUUCCUGGUGUAGCGGUGGAAUGUGCAGAUAUCAGGAGGAACACCAAUAGCGAAGGCAGCUCGCUGGGACGUUACUGACACUGAGGCGCGAAAGCGUGGGGAGCGAACAGG